UUUAACUCUGGUGGAGCAAAUUGAAAUUAAAUUGGUUUUUUUACUAAUUUUCUAAUAAAGUAGACUUAUUGUUAGUGGAAUUUGCUUUUGGUUGUAUAGGAUUUAUAAUGAUUUUUCCAAGGUGGGAUUUAAAAUUUGUGAGCUGAUAAGCUACCAUUUGGGAAGAAUUUUAUGACAUUGGCAUAUAUGGGUAGUAAUACAUGACAACAUUACCAUUUUGCUUGUAAUUGUUGAUUUGAAUCUACCAGCUCAUUUGAAAAUGAAAAUAGAUCUUGUUGUGAAUUGAAAGAUGAAAAUCAUCUUAUGCAAACAUUUGUCUGUUGUUGUAAGUUUCACAAUCAUGAUAUGUUCAACAGAUGUUAUUAAUGCAUAUGAUCAAACAGACUGUAGGCAUUUGGAGAUGAGUUUAAAUUGUAUAUCAUGCAUAGUAGACAUUCACCAAAAUAACCAGGAAAUAUGCAUAUGCCAUAGAAACAGUAUACAGAUGAAUCAAAUACAACUUUCAGAAAGAUAUCAACAGAUUGAAUGCAUAACAUAGUUUGUAUGGAAGUAGCCUCUGGACCAAAAAGAUCUAAGGCAUCAAGUCCUGAGGCAAUCAGAGAACUCAGAUGACAAGAAUUACCUACUAUACUGGAAAAAAAGGA
rnacentral:lncRNA from 1 species